rnacentral:misc_RNA from 1 species
UUCUGAAAACGACACAGAAAGUUUGAGAAAGAGAAAUCAUACUUCCUAGUACAUGUAUCAUUUCAAGAACUGCAAACAUUCCACAACCCAUGGAUAUGGAAUGCAAAUCAGCAGGAGACUUGGAGUCCUACACAAAAAGAAUCGUAACCACAGGAUCCAAAAUGCGUACAACAACUUUCGUGGAUUUCAUGACAGCCGUAUGCCUUCCAAGCAUACUAUUAUGCCGGUCUUCACAUUCGGCAUAUGAAGCUUGAGUGCCCGUCAAAAUGUCCUUGAUUUUUCACUGUUUCGAUCGAAUAUUCGGCGAUAACUCGAUCAAUUUCAUAGAUGGAAUCAUUUUGCUUGCAGAUUCGGAUUCCUAAGAUCGAAAUACAUGAGGAUAGCGAGAUGAACCCUUCCAAAAAAAAUCUGAUUCUUCAUCUCAGAUUUUGAGAAAAUUCCAAGGCUAUAGGCUUACUGUUUUUUUCGGCAAAAAAGUGAAGCAUUUGCCAGAAUAAUUUCGGGACGCUUUUUCUAUGUAAAAAAGCGUAUCGAACGAGAAGCCGUCAAUAAAAUUGAGCUGGCGUAAGAUUCCAUCGAGGUAUCUUUGAUUUUUCACUUUUUCGAUCGAUUAAUUGGCGAUAACUCGAUCAAUUUCAUAGAUGGAAUUAU